rnacentral:rRNA from 1 species
GGGGAAUUUUGGACAAUGGGCGCAAGCCUGAUCCAGCAAUGCCGCGUGCAGGAAGAAGGCCUUCGGGUUGUAAACUGCUUUUGUACGGAACGAAAAGGCUCUGGCUAAUACCUGGAGCUCAUGACGGUACCGUAAGAAUAAGCACCGGCUAACUACGUGCCAGCAGCCGCGGUAAUACGUAGGGUGCGAGCGUUAAUCGGAAUUACUGGGCGUAAAGCGUGCGCAGGCGGUGCUGUAAGACAGGCGUGAAAUCCCCGGGCUCAACCUGGGAAUUGCGCUUGUGACUGCAGCGCUGGAGUGCGGCAGAGGGGGAUGGAAUUCCGCGUGUAGCAGUGAAAUGCGUAGAUAUGCGGAGGAACACCGAUGGCGAAGGCAAUCCCCUGGGCCUGCACUGACGCUCAUGCACGAAAGCGUGGGGAGCAAAC